CAGGACGAACGCUGGCGGCGUGCCUAAUACAUGCAAGUCGUACGCUUCUUUUUCCACCGGAGCUUGCUCCACCGGAAAAAGAAGAGUGGCGAACGGGUGAGUAACACGUGGGUAACCUGCCCAUCAGAAGGGGAUAACACUUGGAAACAGGUGCUAAUACCGUAUAACAAUCGAAACCGCAUGGUUUUGAUUUGAAAGGCGCUUUCGGGUGUCGCUGAUGGAUGGACCCGCGGUGCAUUAGCUAGUUGGUGAGGUAACGGCUCACCAAGGCCACGAUGCAUAGCCGACCUGAGAGGGUGAUCGGCCACAUUGGGACUGAGACACGGCCCAAACUCCUACGGGAGGCAGCAGUAGGGAAUCUUCGGCAAUGGACGAAAGUCUGACCGAGCAACGCCGCGUGAGUGAAGAAGGUUUUCGGAUCGUAAAACUCUGUUGUUAGAGAAGAACAAGGAUGAGAGUAACUGUUCAUCCCUUGACGGUAUCUAACCAGAAAGCCACGGCUAACUACGUGCCAGCAGCCGCGGUAAUACGUAGGUGGCAAGCGUUGUCCGGAUUUAUUGGGCGUAAAGCGAGCGCAGGCGGUUUCUUAAGUCUGAUGUGAAAGCCCCCGGCUCAACCGGGGAGGGUCAUUGGAAACUGGGAGACUUGAGUGCAGAAGAGGAGAGUGGAAUUCCAUGUGUAGCGGUGAAAUGCGUAGAUAUAUGGAGGAACACCAGUGGCGAAGGCGGCUCUCUGGUCUGUAACUGACGCUGAGGCUCGAAAGCGUGGGGAGCAAACAGGAUUAGAUACCCUGGUAGUCCACGCCGUAAACGAUGAGUGCUAAGUGUUGGAGGGUUUCCGCCCUUCAGUGCUGCAGCUAACGCAUUAAGCACUCCGCCUGGGGAGUACGACCGCAAGGUUGAAACUCAAAGGAAUUGACGGGGGCCCGCACAAGCGGUGGAGCAUGUGGUUUAAUUCGAAGCAACGCGAAGAACCUUACCAGGUCUUGACAUCCUUUGACCACUCUAGAGAUAGAGCUUCCCCUUCGGGGGCAAAGUGACAGGUGGUGCAUGGUUGUCGUCAGCUCGUGUCGUGAGAUGUUGGGUUAAGUCCCGCAACGAGCGCAACCCUUAUUGUUAGUUGCCAUCAUUCAGUUGGGCACUCUAGCAAGACUGCCGGUGACAAACCGGAGGAAGGUGGGGGAUGACGUCAAAUCAUCAUGCCCCUUAUGACCUGGGCUACACACGUGCUACAAUGGGGAAGUACAACGAGUUUGCGAAGUCGCGAGGCUAAGCUAAUCUCUUAAAGCUUCUCUCAGGUUCGGGAUUGCAAGGCUGCAACUUCGCCUGCAUGAAGCCCGGAAUCGCUAGUAAAUCGCGGAUCA
rnacentral:rRNA from 1 species